CACGGGGAGGUAGUGACGAAAAAUAACGAUACGGGACUCAUCCGAGGCCCCGUAAUCGGAAUGAGAAUACUUUAAAUCCUUAUCCAAGGAUCAAUUGGAGGGCAAGUCUGGUGYCAGCAGCUGCGGUAAUUCCAGCUCCAAUAGCGUAUAUUAAAGUUGUUGCGGUUAAAAAGCUCGUAGUCGAAUCUGUGUCCCGCGCCGCUGGUUCAUCGCUCGUUCGGUGUCCAACUGGCGUGUUUCGCGGGACGUCCUGCCGGUGGGCUUUUCGGAUUGAUGACUUCGGUUGUCGUUCGUGGCCCAACUCGUAUUCGCCUUGUGCGGGUGCGAAUCCCAUCGCGGUGCUCUUUAUUGAGUGUCGAGGUGGGCCGGCACGUUUACUUUGAACAAAUUAGAGUGCUUAAAGCAGGCCAAUUUUGCCUGAAUAUUGUGUGCAUGGAAUAAUGGAAUAGGACCUCGGUUCUAUUUUGUUGGUUUUCGGAACCCCGAGGUAAUGAUUAAUAGGAACGGAUGGGGGCAUUCGUAUUGCGACGUUAGAGGUGAAAUUCUUGGAUCGUCGCAAGACGGACAGAAGCGAAAGCAUUUGCCAAAAACGUUUUCAUUGAUCAAGAACGAAAGUUAGAGGUUCGAAGGCGAUCAGAUACCGCCCUAGUUCUAACCAUAAACGAUGCCAGCUAGCGAUCCGCCGACGUUCCUCCGAUGACUCGGCGGGCAGCUUCCGGGAAACCAAAGCUUUUGGGUUCCGGGGGAAGUAUGGUUGCAAAGCUGAAACUUAAAGGAAUUGACGGAAGGGCACCACCAGGAGUGGAGCCUGCGGCUUAAUUUGACUCAACACGGGAAAACUCAUCAGGCCA
rnacentral:rRNA from 1 species